rnacentral:rRNA from 1 species
UAGGGAAUCUUCCGCAAUGGGCGAAAGCCUGACGGAGCAACGCCGCGUGAGUGAUGAAGGUCUUCGGAUCGUAAAACUCUGUUAUUAGGGAAGAACAAAUGUGUAAGUAACUAUGCACGUCUUGACGGUACCUAAUCAGAAAGCCACGGCUAACUACGUGCCAGCAGCCGCGGUAAUACGUAGGUGGCAAGCGUUAUCCGGAAUUAUUGGGUGUAAAGCGCGCGUAGGCGGUUUUUUAAGUCUGAUGUGAAAGCCCACGGCUCAACCGUGGAGGGUCAUUGGAAACUGGAAAACUUGAGUGCAGAAGAGGAAAGUGGAAUUCCAUGUGUAGCGGUGAAAUGCGCAGAGAUAUGGAGGAACACCUGUGGCGAAGGCGACUUUCUGGUCUGUAACUGACGCUGAUGUGCGAAAGCGUGGGGAUCAAACAGG